AGCUGGGGACAGGACCCAGGGCCUUGCGCUUCCUAGGCAAGCGCUCUACCACUGAGCUAAAUCCCCAACCCCAAGCCAGCGUUCUUAACAGCUGGAGCCACCUCAGCAGCCCCUUGUUUUACUACGUGAAACAACGGUCCAGGAUGGGUUGGAACUUACUGUGUAGCUGAAGAUGGCCUUGAGCUUCUCAUCCUCCUGCCUGCUGGGAUUACAAGAGGGUACCCGUUUUAUACAGUUUUGGGGAUCAGCCUUAGUAUGUGCUCUACCAACCCAGCUACAUCUUCACCACUCUCCUUUAUUAUUGUUGCUACUGUUAUGGUUGUUUAUUUAUUUAAGGAAACCUUUUCUGAGUUUUCCCAGGCUGGUCUUGAACUCCUCAUCCUCUUGCCUCCCAAGUGCUGAAUAGCCCUUGCUACCAGACCCGGCUUGUACAUUUAUUUCGUAAUGUUAUCCUUCUUAAUUUCUGUCUUGGGUUCUGUUGUUAGUGGUGGCUUUAGAUUUAGUCUCACUAUGUUCCCCAGAUCUUGCAAGAAACUGGCUGAAUAGCUCAGGAUUGCCUACAGAAAACAGAGGGACUUCACAGAUGACACAGUAGGGAGAAAAAUGACCAGCGCUAAUAUGACUUGGGUUCCUGGUUGCCUGGGAUGCCUGUGGCCCUGUUGCUUCAAAGCACCGGCCUCCUCAUCUGAAGACAGGCACUGAGGGAUCUCAGAUACCAACCGCACCAGAUCAGUCAUGGGGGCCUUGGUUCCAUCUCCGUCAUGGAAAUAACCAGGAGAAUGAAGCCAGGGCUUGCAAGGAGUAAGCUGAUCUUUGGGAGCCUCUCUUCCACUCUCUGGGACCUUCAGCCCCCCCAGGCUACCCCAAUAACCUGCCCUACCUACCUGUGGGUGUCCUGACACUUUCCCUCCUUCUAACUUCUAACAGGGGCUCCCGAGGCCCCUGCUGCUGUUCCCUGGCUGUUUAAAGUGUUACCUCUUCUAGAAAAGUGAGGAUUCCUGGG
ensembl:lncRNA